GGGGAAUAGUAAAAGAUACAUCCCCAUGCACUUCUAAGUGUUUAGGUUUAAAUCCUGGCUGUAGAAUUUUCUAGUUGUAAAAUCUUGGGUAAGUUAUUAGAUCUCAUUCUGGCUUAGGUUCCUCACGUGUAAAAUGGGGCUAUAAUGCUUUAUGUGGCUGUUAGAAAGGUAAGGAGAUACGCUAUGUGCUUAGAAUAGCUUGUUCCUGAAGCUCAUUGGGAUGUUAGCAUGAUGCAGAAAGAAGACAGGCACAGCUGGGAGGUAUGGAGUCUGUGAGGAUAGUGCCAAGAGAAAUAUUUCAAAUUUUAGAAUGAUUCUUAGAGGCAAUGGGAAACAUUGAAAUAUUUCUGUGUAAUGAAACUAUGCUAUCAUCUUUGUUCUUUAUAAAGAUUCCUUUGGUAGAUGAAGUUACUGCAUCAUAAUUUAUUUUAUAUCUUAAUUCUGAACUCUAUACAACUUACCAAAAACCAUAGUUAAUAGUCACUAGGAGCACAGACGUGUGAAAUAAUAUGCUUUUGAAAACUUAUUAAGUAUAACAGUGACCAUGAUCUCUCCCAGAAAUGCAUUUUGGGGUUCACUCAGCUAAUUUGAAGGUCUCGAAGCCCAUCUGAUUGCUUGUGAUUAGGAACAGGAUAUUUGUGCCACUUACUGGUGAACUGUGGGAAGAAGAUCAGCUCCUCAGGCAGCUCAAGAAAAGUCUCCAGACAAAGUCUCUCAGAGAUGCUGUUAAAGAAAAAAUUCUUCAAGCACUUGUUAAGAUGGUAAGGAAGAUUUUUUAUUCAGUACUAUACCCAUAGGUAUCCAGACUAUGCCAGUAGCAGAGAGAGAUUGGGCCCAAUGCCAAAGGCAGCAAAGACUGCUGGAGAAUAAUAGGCAAGUAACGGAAUGGGAGGAGACCCCAAAGUUCGGAGAUUCUUGUUAAAGAAUCUAUCAGAAUUUUUAAAGCAGGCCAGGGUGAUCCGAUCUCACCUGCAGGAUGGUAUGCCUGCCCAAGGUCAAGGCUUAGUUGGAAAGAGGGCCUGGGGAGACCAUCCAAACCCUGGUUAAGGAGGGUCUCUGUUCAUGAUCCUUAUCAUGAAGAUACGGGGUCUCCCUUUGUUGUCCAGGUUGAUCUUGAACUCCUGAGCUUAAGUGAUCUUCCUACUUCAGCUUCCCAAAGUGCUGGGAUUACAGGAAUGAGCCAACAUACUGAACCUGAAUUAAAGAUUUAUUAAAAAAAAAACUUGAAUGUAUAUUUUUCAAAAAAAAACUUAAAUAUAUACUUUUCAAAGGUUCUACUAAAUUUAUGUCUGUGAAAUUGAUGUCUGAAAGUAUGUGUAUACAUAAAAAUAUAAUAGUAUUAUCUACUCUCUUUUAAAGAAACUGAGAUCUCACUGAAAGUAACUGAGAGGACCUAGUUCUCCCACAUUCUUUUUUCUUAUUAUUACAAUGUUUGCCGAGUAUAAAGUUUACCAAUUUAAACAUUUUAUGGUUGAAUGGUCUGUGGCAUUAAGUAUACGCACAAUGUUGUGCAGCCAACCACCACCUAGUUGUAGAACAUUUUUA
rnacentral:lncRNA from 13 species